rnacentral:rRNA from 1 species
UACGGAGGAUCCAAGCGUUAUCCGGAUUUAUUGGGUUUAAAGGGCGCGUAGGCGGUUUUAUAAGUUAGAGGUGAAAAUUCGGGGCUCAACUCCGGACGUGCCUCUAAUACUGUAUGACUAGAGAAUAGAUGCGGUAGGCGGAAUGUAUGGUGUAGCGGUGAAAUGCGUAGAGAUCAUACAGAACACCGAUUGCGAAGGCAGCUUACCAAACUAUAUCUGACGUUGAGGCACGAAAGCGUGGGGAGCAAACAGG